AUUGAACGCUGGCGGCAGGCCUAACACAUGCAAGUCGAACGAGUGGCGGACGGGUGAGUAAUGUCUGGGAAACUGCCCGAUGGAGGGGGAUAACUACUGGAAACGGUAGCUAAUACCGCAUACCAUCGGAUGUGCCCAGAUGGGAUUAGCUUGUAGGUGAGGUAACGGCUCACCUAGGCGACGAGCCCUAGAUGGUCUGAGAGGGUGAACAGGCACACUGGAACGGAGGCACGGUCCAGACUCCUACGGGAGGCAGCAGUGGGGAAUAUUGCACAGUGGGCGCAAGCCUGAUGCAGCCAUGCCGCGUGUAUGAAGAAGGCUUUCAGGUUGUAAAGUACGUUCAGCGGGGAGGCGUUACCCGCAGACGAAGCACCGGCUAACUCCGUGCCAGCAGACGCGGUAAUUC
rnacentral:rRNA from 1 species